GUGCCAGCCGCCGCGGUAAAACGUAGGAGGCGAGCGUUAUCCGGAUUUACUGGGUGUAAAGCGCGUGCAGGCGGCUCGGUAAGUGGUGUGUGAAAGCGCCCGGCUCAACCGGGGGAGGUCGCACCAGACUGCGGAGCUGGAGGCAGGUAGAGGCGUGUGGAAUUCCGGGUGUAGUGGUGAAAUGCGUAGAGAUCCGGAGGAACACCAGUGGCGAAGGCGGCACGCUGGGCCUGGCCUGACGCUCAGACGCGAAAGCAUGGGGAGCGAACGGGAUUAGAAACCCCCGUAGUCC
rnacentral:rRNA from 1 species